AGGGUUUGAUUAUGGCUCAGGAUGAACGCUGGCGGUAUGCCUAACACAUGCAAGUCGUACGAGAGUUUUUAACUCUAGUGGCGGACGGGUGAGUAACACGUGAGAAUUUGCCUUUAGGAGGGGGAUAACAAUUGGAAACGAAUGCUAAUACCCCAUAUGCUUUUGAGUGAAACGGAUUUAUCCGCCUAGAGAGAAGCUCGCGGCUGAUUAGCUUGUUGGUAAGGUAAGAGCUUACCAAGGCGACGAUCAGUAUCUGGUUUGAGAGGACGAUCAGACACACUGGAACUGAGACACGGUCCAGACUCCUACGGGAGGCAGCAGUGGGGAAUUUUCCGCAAUGGGCGAGAGCCUGACGGAGCAAUACCGCGUGAGGGAAGACUGCCUAUGGGUUGUAAACCUCUUUUUUCAGAGAGGAAUAAAUGACGUGUACCUGAAGAAUAAGCGUCGGCUAACUCCGUGCCGGCAGCCGCGG
rnacentral:rRNA from 1 species